GGGUUGUGAGGUUAAGCGACUAAGCGUACACGGUGGAUGCCCUGGCAGUCAGAGGCGAUGAAGGGCGUGCUAAUCUGCGAUAAGCGCCGGUAAGGUGAUAUGAACCGUUAUAACCGGCGAUACCCGAAUGGGGAAACCCAGUGUGACUCGUCACACUAUCAUUAACUGAAUCCAUAGGUUAAUGAGGCGAACCGGGGGAACUGAAACAUCUAAGUACCCCGAGGAAAAGAAAUCAACCGAGAUUCCCCCAGUAGCGGCGAGCGAACGGGGAGGAGCCCAGAGCCUGAAUCAGCAUGUGUGUUAGUGGAAGCGUCUGGAAAGGCGCGCGAUACAGGGUGAUAGCCCCGUACACAAAAGCGCAUGUGUUGUGAGCUCGAUGAGUAGGGCGGGACACGUGGUAUCCUGUCUGAAUAUGGGGGGACCAUCCUCCAAGGCUAAAUACUCCUGACUGACCGA
rnacentral:rRNA from 1 species